GCACACUAUUCGAAAGGAUAGGCCGCAAAGCUUAGAGUCUACGGUAAUAUAUUGGUUACUAAGAUCGUCUGGUUGCACAU
rnacentral:ncRNA from 1 species